rnacentral:rRNA from 1 species
GCCCCUGUCGGCCGGUCCGCCUUCUUGGUGUGUACUUGCUCGACGGGGGCUUACCUCCUGGUGAGCGGCGAUGCCCUUUACUGGGUGUCGUCGGGAACCAGGACAUUUACUUUGAAAAAAUUAGAGUGUUCAAAGCAGGCCUACGCCCGAAUACAUUAGCAUGGAAUAAUAAAAUAGGACGCGCGUUCCCAUUUUGUUGGUUUCUGAGAUCGCCGUA